AUGCUCGCGCCAGUGCUAGGCGCCGUCGGAUGUGGACGCGGAAGCGCGGGACUUGCACGCCCUACUCUACCCUGCUCCUUCCAAUCCGGCCCUGAAGUGCUCGAGGAGGCGCUCCAGCUCGGCAUGCUCACCGGUGACGCCGGGUUCCUCCAUCCUCCUGAUUCCUUCGACGUCGCCAACAUGAGCCUCUCCACCCUCUCCGCGUGA
rnacentral:rRNA from 1 species